UUACCGCAGGGAAAAUGAGGGACUUUUGGGGGCAGUUGUGUUUCCAUUACACUAUCAUAAUGCCCCUAAAAAUCCUUAUUGCUCUUGCAGUAU
rnacentral:pre_miRNA from 2 species